GAUGAACGCUGGCGGCGUGCCUAAUACAUGCAAGUCGAGCGAACAGACGAGGAGCUUGCUCCUCUGACGUUAGCGGCGGACGGGUGAGUAACACGUGGAUAACCUACCUAUAAGACUGGGAUAACUUCGGGAAACCGGAGCUAAUACCGGAUAAUAUAUUGAACCGCAUGGUUCAAUAGUGAAAGACGGUUUUGCUGUCACUUAUAGAUGGAUCCGCGCCGCAUUAGCUAGUUGGUAAGGUAACGGCUUACCAAGGCAACGAUGCGUAGCCGACCUGAGAGGCGGAUAGGCCACCCUGGAACUGAGACACGGUCCAGACUCCUAAGGGAGGCAGCAGUCGGGAAUGUUCCGCAAUGGGCGAAAGCUUGACGGAGAAACGCCGCGUGAGUGGUGAAGGUCUUCGGAUCGGAAAGCUCUGUUAUUAGGGAAGAACAAAUGUGUAAGUAAACAUGGACGUCUUGACGGUAACUAAUCAGAAAGCCACGGCUAACUACGUG
rnacentral:rRNA from 1 species